AAAAAAUAAAAAAUAAAAAAAAUCACUCUCCAGGUGUAUUAAUGAGACACGUCCAACACGGUGCCAAUACUUUAUUAUCAACUCGCUACACGGGAAGUACAGGUGUAUACGUAUGGCUGUGCAGGUGUGUGUGGGGUCCGGCAGGUGGCUCAGGUACCAUGGCUGCUCACCUUAAUUAACACGCCUCACCUGCGCGCCACCUGAGACCUUACAGAGUACAAUGCUGGGUCGGACAGAGGCUUAGUGUCGAGGUUUAGAGAUUCCUUUUUUUCUGAGAGGAUUUUCACUUGGGAUUAAAAUUACGAGGUGAGGAUUUUCUAGAGGUUACAUCAUUAUAUAUGUUGGUGAUGUUACUAGUUGGAAUACAUACAUAAACAAGUAAAUGAUAACAAUAGCACAGUGCUUGGUUUGACAGGUUUGGAGUUUGUUUUCUGGGAGUAUUUCCUCUUCGGAUUAGAAUUUCAAUGAGAGAUGUUUUAGAGAAGCUACAUCAUUGACAUUUUGGUGUGAUGUUACUCGUUGCAAUACACACAUACAUAGAUAAUUAGAUACAUGUAAAUAUACAUAAGAAUAAAUAUAAAUAAACGUACGGUCCUUUUUGUUUUGUUUAUGUUGCCCUUGAGCUGCUUCCAUUGCUGUGAGAGAAAGAUGAACCGGCCUACGUAGAACUUGUACUGCUUUUCUUUUUAAUUUUUUUUUGUUCCAUAAGGUUAUUUUAAAAGUAAUACAAGUCUGUCUAAAUGAAACAUAUUUACCCACAUAAUACCAAGCAAUCUUACACGGCAUUACUUUUAUUGUUUAUACCAUAGAGUUAUCGUUUUCAAAGUAAUGUAAGUCUGUCUAAAUUAAACAUAUCGACCCACAUAGUGCCAAUCAAUCUUACACGGCAUUACUUUUAUUGUUUAUACCAUAGAGUUAUCGUUUUCAAAGUAAUACAAGCCUGUCUAAAUUAAACAUAUUGACCCACAUAAUACCAAGCAAUCUUACACGGCAUUACUUUUAUUGUUUAUACCAUAGAGUUAUCGUUUUCAAAGUAAUACAAGCCUGUCUAAAUGAACAUCUGAAAUCAAAUAAAGUAAAGCACAUCACAACAAUUCCUCAAGUCAACGAAGCACUAUUUGAGUUCAUCACAGGUACAACUCAAACUGACCCUUAAGGGACGGGUAUCGUAUUUUUGAGUGAAAAAUCAACCAAUAUAAAAAAAUGGAUUUACACUAGCACUGAGGAAUCGAGUGUACUUUUGGAUACUCAAGUGUAGUAAGCUUCAAGGCGAUGCAUGAAAACGAAAGGCACACACACACAAAAAAAGCUGUGAAAAAUUGCCUAUAAAUACCGUAACUUUGACUGCCUAAAACUUCAAUAGAUUAUAUCAUUUGACAAUAAAAAACAACAACAGUGAACAGAUUAAUCCCUUAAAUUACAAGUCAUAAAUAUAUAAACAAGUCAUAAAAUCUAAACAAGUCAAAUAUCUAAGCAAGUCAUAAAUAUCUAAACUAAAUGAAAAUGUAAGCAAAGGGAACACAACUGGAAGCACAUGAUCGUUACGUGGUAUUUAUGCUUCCCCUCCGCCUGUCCGUCACGCGCCGCCCAUCACCGAACACGUCCUGACACACCGGCCUCAGCGGAUCAGCGCGGCGUAUCAAUAAACACAAACUGAUUGAUGCAGAGACUCCCCUUAAUCGAUAUUUAGCCAAUAAUCGGACGCACACUUCAAAAUCUAUUAUCAGAAAUUACAGCCGUUCUGCCCUAUACAAGUCGUAAGGUAAUGGUGUCAUAUUAUUAACAACCCCGCCUCUGACCACUCCCCUAACCACUCGCAGAAAAAAACGAUGUACAUAUUCUUUUCUCUAAUGGUUUGAAAAUAAAGAUGAAUAUAAAUACCUUUCCCCCGUAUAAAUAAACAAACUGAUUGAUGCAGACUCCCCUUAACAACCCCGCCUCUGACCACUCCCCUAACCACUCGCAGAAAAAAAAUUAUGUACAUAUUCUUUUCUCUAAUGGUUUUAAAAUAAAGAUGAAUAUAAAUACCUUUCCCCUAACAUGGUGAACUUUACAAAACUUUCCAUAUAGAUAAUCACAAACUGUUUGAUGAAGAGACCUCCCCUUGACAACCCCGCUCCGUCUCCUCCUCACAGUUCAGGAAGAAAACGACAAAUAUAUUUUUUCCCUAAUUGUCUUCAAGCAGAUAAAUAUACAUAGGCCUACUUUUCCCCCACGUGUCCAAACAUGACGAGCGUUACAAAAUAUCUCAAUAUAAAUAUAAACUGAUGUUGAUACUCCCCUUCAACAGCCCACCCUUACCGCCCACUCACGGAUCUCGCAAUAAAAGAUGCAUAUAUUUUUUUACCUUUGAUGAUCUAAAAAUAAAGAUGAAUAUGAAUCCCUUUCCCCAAACCUGAUUACCUUUGCAAAACUAUGUAUAUAAAUCAACAACAACAACAAAAAAAAAAUUGAUGUAGAUACUUCCCUUAUAACAACC